AUAUAUAUAUACACACACACACACACACACACACACACACACACACAGAUAUAUAUAUAUGUGUGUGUGUGUGUGUGUGUGUGUGUGUGUAACUAAAAUUG
rnacentral:miRNA from 1 species